GAUGAAGAACGCAGCGAAAUGCGAUACUUGGUGUGAAUUGCAGAAUCCCGUGAACCAUCGAGUCUUUGAACGCAAGUUGCGCCCGAAGCCAUUAGGCCGAGGGCACGCCUGCCUGGGCGUCACACGUCGUUGCCCCCCCAUCUACUCCUUCGGGAUUGCGGGGGCGGAUGAUGGCCUCCCGUGCGCCUCGUCGCGCGGUUGGCAUAAAUGCCAAGUCCUCGGCGACGCACGCCACGACAAUCGGUGGUUGCGAAACCUCGGUUGCCCGUCGUGUGCGGUCGUCGCGCAUCGAGGGCUCGAAAAAAUUGCCGGGCUCCGGCUCGACUUUCAACGCGACCCCAGGUCAGGCGGGGUUACCCGCUGAAUUUAAGCAUAUCAAUAAGCGGAGGA
rnacentral:misc_RNA from 1 species